UUUAGGCGGGGGGGCUAUACAUGCAAGUAGAACGCUGAAGACUUUAGCUUGCUAAAGUUGGAAGAGUUGCGAACGGGUGAGUAACGCGUAGGUAACCUGCCUACUAGCGGGGGAUAACUAUUGGAAACGAUAGCUAAUACCGCAUAACAGCAUUUAACCCAUGUUAGAUGCUUGAAAGGAGCAAUUGCUUCACUAGUAGAUGGACCUGCGUUGUAUUAGCUAGUUGGUGAGGUAACGGCUCACCAAGGCGACGAUACAUAGCCGACCUGAGAGGGUGAUCGGCCACACUGGGACUGAGACACGGCCCAGACUCCUACGGGAGGCAGCAGUAGGGAAUCUUCGGCAAUGGGGGCAACCCUGACCGAGCAACGCCGCGUGAGUGAAGAAGGUUUUCGGAUCGUAAAGCUCUGUUGUAAGAGAAGAACGUGUGUGAGAGUGGAAAGUUCACACAGUGACGGUAACUUACCAGAAAGGGACGGCUAACUACGUGCCAGCAGCCGCGGUAAUACGUAGGUCCCGAGCGUUGUCCGGAUUUAUUGGGCGUAAAGCGAGCGCAGGCGGUUUAAUAAGUCUGAAGUUAAAGGCAGUGGCUUAACCACUGUUCGCUUUGGAAACUGUUAGACUUGAGUGCAGAAGGGGAGAGUGGAAUUCCAUGUGUAGCGGUGAAAUGCGUAGAUAUAUGGAGGAACACCGGUGGCGAAAGCGGCUCUCUGGUCUGUAACUGACGCUGAGGCUCGAAAGCGUGAGGAGCAAACAGGAUUAGAUACCCUGGUAGUCCACGCCGUAAACGAUGAGUGCUAGGUGUUAGGCCCUUUCCGGGGCUUAGUGCCGGAGCUAACGCAUUAAGCACUC
rnacentral:rRNA from 1 species